AAACAAACUUGGAAAGGGUAAAGACCGGCUCGUACCUGAAAAAUUAACAAUUCAGCGAUUGUUAGCUCAAGUUAAAGGAUCUUCCCAAAAGUAUGCCAGAAUGGGGCCUUUAAAAAGAGUACAAUGUUUUUGAAUGUUUUUACCCUUUAAAAUGUUUUUGGAAGACGACAUGUGUGCACCACCAACUAUUGAUGUUGUGAGAAGGGCUUGUAUUGCUGUUUUCAACAUGAAGGGGUUUGAUUGUAAUACACUAGAAACUGAGCGAGGACCACCUAUCCAAAAUCUAAACGAAUUAAAGAAUCCUAAUGGCACAUUUUUUGUACGAUUCAUCCACAAACAAUAUAUAGUCGCACUAAAGGCCCCAUUCUGGCAUACUUUUGGAAAGAUCCUUUAACUUGAGCUGAUAAUCGCUGAAUUGUUAACUUUUCAGGUACGAGAGCCGGUCUUUACCCUUUCCAAGUUUGUUUCGUUCUCUUUUUCUUGUCCUCUUUGCUGCCAUAAUCUUCUGGUUCUUCUUGAACUCACCUUCGUCCGCCAUGCUUUCAGUUUGACCUAACUGCCGCAGAGAGACUGGGUAGAGCAUGCGCCUCAUCUGACAAUCGUGGUCAGCGGUAAAGCACGUUAAUGCACUUAGCUAUAUCGAUAUAUUCACAGAUUAAGAACAGAUGUGUAACUUCAGUAAAAAGUUGUCCCACGGUCGCCAUCUUCCUAUCAAGUGUCGCUCGCGUGAUAAUUCGUCAUUUGGUAAUACGUCUUGCUUUUAAAAAUGCUUUCAACACCUUUUCAACAACUUUCAACAUUGAUUGUUUAAUCCAAGCAAAUGUGAUGGCAUGAGCAUGACGUGUAUGUACAUCUAGGGAAAUUUGAGGACAUGAAGUCACAGAAUAGGCUACACAGUUGCCCAACUUUUUGGUUUUCCUAUGAUUUUCCAAUGAUUUUGGCGCAACAGUAAUUCGUCACGAAAAUGCUGACGCCAUGGUCCUAGCCAGUGCGUGUUUGAGAGGCAUUCACCCCCUGAUAAUAUUCAAAUUGGCGGAAGUCCAGGGGGGAUGCCUCUCAUAAGCGCACUGGCUAGGACCAUGGCGUCAGCAUUUUCAUGACGAAUCAUGGCAUGGUAGCAGUUACUCGAGUCGACCUUCUGUAUGUCUUUAUUCUGUGACGAAGUCCUAUUAAGUUUUACAUCUGGUCAUUCUUAAUCUGUGACGUAAUGUCUCUUCUCGGACAUGAGGAUUUCUUUUUAAAUCGUCAUGUCCGAGAAGAGACAUCAUUAAUUUUAAAAUUAAAACCAAUUGAGUUGAAACGUUUUAAAAUAAUUUAAAACAAAAUAGAAACAAGAAAAAGAUAAAUUUUAAAAAUAAAAAUAUAUUAAAUGUAAAUUGAAUGCAAAUAAAUUUUAAAAUGAAACAAAAAUGUUGAUGUCUCUCCUAGGACACCAUACUGGUGUGACACUAAUCCUUUAAGUUCUCUGUUUAAGAAAUAGAAAACAUACGAAUCUACUCAUUUCAUGGGAAUAUCCUGAGUCUGCAAUCACGGCUUCAACUUUUGAAUUGCAGAAUAAUUAGAUGCACUAUCUAGUGUAUAUAAGAUAUCUAUGGUUCAUAUACUCAGAACAGUCAUAACUCAUCUACUCGUUCACAUGUAUCAGAAGGAGAAAGUCGCACUGGAAAUCGCAGCAAAAUUGCUAACCAUAUGUGAUUGGAUUUUCAAAUGUAAAUUUAUACAAUUUUAGACCUAAUUAUAACCUGGAGCAGCUGGGGAAAAUGCAACUUUAUGCCCUCCGGCAGUAAUCCAACCAGCCUCCGUGCAAUUCCAGUGCCUCAUGCUGAGGGCCUGUAGUUAUAUUUUUUCCAUCUGCUCCCGGUAAUUAGCUCUAAAAAUGUUCAAAAUUCCAUUCACUAAAAACACAUCUACAUUCAAUUUUGUCGAGCGAGAUGCCCAUUUACAGUGUGUAAAGGCCCAUUUCCACACAGGGAAAUUUUCCGCAGAAAGAAAAUUUUGUGAAAUGUGAUUGGCCGACACAAAUUUUCCGUCGGAAAAAAAUUUUGAAGUUGAAAAUUUUCAACUUUUAACAAUGAGAUUUUCGGAAAAUUUUCUGUCCGUGGAAAAUUUUCUUGAGUGGAAAUGAGCCUUAACUCAUACACACCCUAUGGUAUCAUACUUAAUCUUUCCACACCCCGCCGUACUUUACCUUACCGCAUACCAUACCUUGUAUACCAUAGCGUACACCGUGCCGGUCAAAAAUUCUCACUAUUAAGAGUGACCGUAUUUGGAAAAUUAAGUAAUAAAAUGCCUUCUACCAUACCAGAAUAACUUGCACACGUAGAAUACACAAAUUGUUGAAACGUCGAGUCUCUGCUUGUUUUCUAAGAUAGUAAUGUAACCACUCAGCACAGCAUUUUCACAUUGGUACUACCUACACUGGUACAGACCGUUUUAGUAAAAAUAAUACUCGAAGUCAGUAGUGUAAGCGUACUUGUACCUGAUUUUUAUAGACUGCGGACAUCACAGUCAUGAAAUACAAACAAUAUUCUAAACCAUAUGUAAGAACCUAUUCAGCCUGACCUGAACAUAUAUUCAACACAUGAAAUGGGUCUUCAUGAAAUGUAAAAAUUUGUAAAUAGGACAUAUAUUGAAGUAGUUUUUUCUAGUCGUUCUUUACGCACUUACAUUCAAAUGUUGUUGUCUUAUUAGAUUUUCGGGGGUGGAAGCAGAAUACUUUUACUUCAACAUUCAAUAUUCCUAUCUGCAUUCAAUAUAUUCCAAAACCAUGCAACGGGGGAGAUAUUCGUUCCAUUUAUAUUCAAAUAUUCGUAUUCUUACUGUGAACAUUCAUAUUCCUAACCCAACUAUAGCGCUCACUGCUCAUAUUCCCAACCCAAGUAUUCAGAUAUUCCUACAAAUGAUUCAAAGCAGCCUAGACCUAGGGCCUUCACUCGACAGGCGGUUCUUGAUUUGCAGGUUAAUCGACUUCAAUGCGUAUGACGUAGGCUGGCAAUUCCUUCGCCCAAAUUGCCUAGGUUCCAGUCUUCUCACAUGAAAAAGCACUGAAACAUAAAUACAAAGCCUAGGCUGUAAAACUCAGUAUUCAAUAGUCCGCCUUCAACCCCGAUAGAUUUGGUUAUCGUUACGCUAUUUUCUACGUUUACUACACUUUUGUUGAAUUAUUUGUUCAAAAUCCCACUAUGAAAAGUUCCGUUACCAUAUCUCGGAAUUAGCGAAAAUCAGGUCGGCAAAUUUUGUUCGGCGAAAAUUUCGCUUCAUGAAAC